rnacentral:rRNA from 1 species
UGCCUACGGGUGGCUGCAGUGAGGAAUAUUGCGCAAUGGGCGAAAGCCUGACGCAGCGACGCCGCGUGGGUGAGGAAGGCCUUCGGGUCGUAAAGCCCUUUUCUGCGUGACGAGAGAGGACGGUAGCGCAGGAACAAGUCUCGGCUAACUACGUGCCAGCAGCCGCGGUAAAACGUAGGAGGCGAGCGUUAUCCGGAGUUACUGGGCGUAAAGAGCGUGUAGGCGGGUGUGCAAGUUUGGCGUGAAAGCUCCCGGCUAAACUGGGAGAGUGCGCUGAAGACUGCAUAUCUAGAGGCGAGUAGAGGGACGUGGAAUUCCGGGUGUAGUGGUGAAAUGCGUAGAGAUCCGGAGGAACACCAGUGGCGAAGGCGACGUCCUGGGCUUGACCUGACGCUGAGACGCGACAGCACGGGGAGCGAACGGGAUUAGAUACCCGGGUAGUC